AGGACGAACGCUGGCGGCGUGCUUAACACAUGCAAGUGGAGCGACGAACCAGGCUUCGGCCUGGGGCAGAGCCGCGAACGGGUGAGUAACACGUGGGUAACCUGCCUCGAUGACCGGGACAACCCGAGGAAACCCGGGCUAAUACCGGAUGUGCUCCUUCACAUCAGUGAAGACAGGAAAGGAAGCUUCGGCCUCCGCAUCGAGAUGGGCCCGCGGCCCAUUAGCUUGUUGGUGAGGUAACGGCUCACCAAGGCUGCGAUGGGUAGCUGGUCUGAGAGGACGAUCAGCCACACUGGGACUGAGACACGGCCCAGACUCCUACGGGAGGCAGCAGUGGGGAAUCUUGCGCAAUGCGCGAAAGCGUGACGCAGCAACGCCGCGUGGGGGAAGACGGCUUUCGGUGUAAACCCUUUCAGAGGACGAAGCCAGAGCGGUUAAUAGCCGACUCGGUGACGGUACCUCAGAAGAAGCCCCGGCUAACGUACGUGCCAGCAGCCGCGGUAAC
rnacentral:rRNA from 1 species